rnacentral:lncRNA from 1 species
CAUCUUGGUGCAACACAACAAUGAUCUCAUCACCAUUUCUUAAUCCAUUCUUCAUAAAAAAUAGAAAUACGAAAAAAUAUUAAAGUUAUACAAUUUUAAAUUAACGAUAAAUCAGAUUAAGUUAGAAAAUUAAGGUCUUACUUCAUCAAUAGUCUUUGUUGGUGAAACACGUUUUCCAUCGAAGAGAAAUCGAACUGUUUUGUAAUCCAUUUGUUUUUUCUUACAGUAUAUCUUGAAGAUUUUCUUGGUAAUUGUAUCAGGUGACACAUUGAAAAUGAUAAUUGAUCCAUCCUAUAAAAAUAAAAAUAAAAAUUAGGAGCAUUUAAAGUUUAAAAAUUAUAUUAGAGAGUGAAAUGAUGAACCUGAGAUUGAACAUGGAUUUCAAUUGUUGUGGUUUCAUCAACUGGAUUCUUAUUUUCUG